rnacentral:tRNA from 1 species
GCGGAAGUGGCGGAAUAGGCAGACGCGCGGGCCUUAGGAGCCCGUAUCCGUGAGGGUGUGCGGGUUCAAGUCCCGCCUUCCGCACCC